UACGUAGGGGGCUAGCGUUGUCCGGAAUCAUUGGGCGUAAAGAGCGUGUAGGCGGCCCGGUAAGUCCGCUGUAAAAGUCAAAGGCUCAACCUUUGAAAGCCGAUGGAUACUGCAGGGCUAGAGUCCGGAAGAGGCGAGUGGAAUUCCCUGGUGUAGCGGUGGGAAUGCGCAGAUAUCAGGAGGAACACCAAUAGCGAAGGCAGCUCGCUGGGACGGUACUGACGCUAAGGCGCGAAAGCGUGGGGAGCGAACGAGG
rnacentral:rRNA from 1 species